rnacentral:rRNA from 1 species
GACGAACGCUGGCGGCGUGCUUAACACAUGCAAGUCGAACGGAAAGGCCCUGCUUUUGUGGGGUGCUCGAGUGGCGAAAGGGUGAGUAACAAGUGAGUAAUCUGCCCUUGACUUUGGGAUAACUUCAGGAAACUGGGGCUAAUACCGGAUAGGAGCUCCUGCUGCAUGGUGGGGGUUGGAAAGGUUCGGCGGUUGGGGAUGGACUCGCGGCUUAUCAGCUUGUUGGUGGGGUAGUGGCUUACCAAGGCUUUGACGGGUAGCCGGCCUGAGAGGGUGACCGGCCACAUUGGGACUGAGAUACGGCCCAGACUCCUACGGGAGGCAGCAGUGGGGAAUAUUGCACAAUGGGCGGAAGCCUGAUGCAGCAACGCCGCGUGCGGGAUGUCGGCCUUCGGGUUGUAAACCGCUUUCGCCUGUGACGAAGCGUGAGUGACGGUAAUGGGUAAAGAAGCACCGGCUAACUACGUG